GCAGCAGCAGCAGCAACUGGAUUUGCUUUUUCACCAGAGGAUCCAGAUUUCCCUGUGGCCUUGCAAACAAAAAAGAAGGAAGACGGAGCAGCACAGUCAUCCCUUUGUGAAAAAAGCAUUCAGAGACGGGGUUUCACCGUGUUAGCCAGGAUGGUCUCGAUCUCCUGACCUCGCGAUCCGCCCGCCUCGGCCUCCCAAAGUGCUGGGAUUACAGGCGUGAGCCACCGCGCCCGGCCUCAGCUGGUUUUUCAAAAGUCAUGGCGUGUAAUUGUCAGAACAGUGAACUUCGGAGAUCCACCGGAGGGGCGAGGCCACAGCUCGACCGCGAGCACCUGAGCAUCCUGCACCGCCUGCGACGGCCGUCAGGGGGCGCGAUGCCGCCUCACAGAACCUCAAGCGGCGCCCGGGUUCCGGCACAGACGGCCUGCGGCUCCAGGGGGCGGAGCCGAGCCGUCUCCUCAGGACCUACGCAAGAGGCGCCGUCAUCCCUACAGGGACACCUGAGAGGGCCCAGCCUCCUCCUCCUCAGGACCCACUCGGGAGACGCCGCUGGCUCUCUAGGAACACCUGGGGACCGUGGCCAGGGACGACCCAGCCUCCUUCUCCUCAGCUCCUCAGGAACGACUGGGGAAGCUGUGGCUUCAUGGUCCCCGAGGCUGCCCGAGGAAAGGUAUUUCAGGACAGCCAGGAGGGGGCGCACAUCCGCCGAGAAACUGUGAGCAAGAGCGUCUGUGCUGAACCAUGGCGCCACCAGAGGGCGCGCGAUCCCGCCCCAACCAACUUCCCGCUGAAGUGCCAGAAGCAGCGAGGAGCUUCAACUUCCUCAGGGCAGCACGGGGGUCGUGUUAAUUUGGUGUUCUUCAUUGAUUCCCCAACAGUUAUUGCUGUACCAGAUUUGCAGUGUCCCACAAAAUACUCCGGUAUAUUGUACUGAAAGCAUGGACACUCUCCCAGGUAACUACCACAUAACCCCUAGAUCAGGAAAUCAGCGUUGUUCCUACAUGA
rnacentral:lncRNA from 1 species